rnacentral:rRNA from 1 species
GAUGAACGCUGGCGGCGUGCCUAAUACAUGCAAGUCGAGCGAACGGACGAGAAGCUUGCUUCUCUGAUGUUAGCGGCGGACGGGUGAGUAACACGUGGAUAACCUACCUAUAAGACUGGGAUAAAUUCGGGAAACCGGAGCUAAUACCGGAUGAUAUUUUGAACCGCAUGGUUCAAAAGUGAAAGACGGUCUUGCUGUCACUUAUAGAUGGAUCCGCGCUGCAUUAGCUAGUUGGUAAGGUAGCGGCUUACCAAGGCAACGAUGCAUAGCCGACCUGAGAGGGUGAUCGGCCACACUGGAACUGAGACACGGUCCAGACUCCUACGGGAGGCAGCAGUAGGGAAUCUUCCGCAAUGGGCGAAAGCCUGACGGAGCAACGCCGCGUGAGUGAUGAAGGUCUUCGGAUCGUAAAACUCUGUUAUUAGGGAAGAACAUAUGUGUAAGUAACUGUGCACAUCUUGACGGUACCUAAUCAGAAAGCCACGGCUAACUACGUG